rnacentral:rRNA from 1 species
UACGUAGGGUGCAAGCGUUGUCCGGAUUUACUGGGUGUAAAGGGUGCGUAGGCGGCUUUGCAAGUCAGAUGUGAAAUCUAUGGGCUCAACCCAUAGACUGCAUUUGAAACUGUUGUUCUUGAGUGAGGUAGAGGUAAGCGGAAUUCCUGGUGUAGCGGUGAAAUGCGUAGAGAUCAGGAGGAACAUCGGUGGCGAAGGCGGCUUACUGGGCCUUUACUGACGCUGAGGCUCGAAAGCGUGGGGAGCAAACAGG